rnacentral:lncRNA from 1 species
CGGCCUGUGUGUUUGUGUGCUUGCGUGGGGGAUAGAUGCGUGGGAUAGAGGCGAUUCAGGGCGCCCAGCAACAUCGCCGCCAUAUGUACCUUGCACUUGUGAGCAAGCUCCCACGCACGCACAAACCCACACGUGCAAACAAGAGGCACCCAAGAGCACACGCACGCCCCUCCUGCCACAGACGAUGCGGCUGCUGAACGAGUACGGUGUGGUGCUGGAGGGCAUCCUGCUCAAGCCCAACAUGUGCCUGCCCGGUGAGAAGGGUGGGGGGGGAGCCGCUGGGGGCAGCAGUGGCGGGGAGGGGGGGGGGGCAGCAGCAGCGGCAGGGAGGGAGGCACGGCGUGGAGGAAUGGGUAUGGUUGUGGAACUAGAGCCAGGAGCGGCACAUGUGCCACAUCUGGACUGCGGCGUGGGGCGCGUGCAUAAAGGGUGUCGGCAGGCAACAGGGUCCGUCUAAGCCCGCUAAUCCCUUGCCCACACUGCCCCCUCGUCCCUCGCCCCCCUCCCUGCCUCCGCAGGCCUGGACGCGCCCGUGGCCUCGCCCCAGCUGGUGGCGGAGGUGACCACGCGCACCAUGAUGCGCUCCAUCCCGCCCGCAGUGCCCGGCAUCCACUUCCUGUCCGGCGGCAUGAGCGAGGAGGAGUCCACGCUCAACCUGCAGGUGUGUGUGGGGGGGGGGGCGGGGUGAGGGGAGGUAGGAGGGUACCGGAGACCAUAUUGGAAGUCAGGACUAUCAGUGGGGACUGAUCGGCCGGGGGCGUCCUCUGUUGCAGAGCCUGCUAAUUGACUGACCACCACCAUCGCCACCGCCCCCCGUGUCCCAUGCGGCACCCGCAGGCCCUGAACGAGGCAUGCCCCAACGCCCCCUGGGCCCUGACCUUCUCCUACGGCCGCGCCCUGCAGUCGUCCACCCUCAAGGUGCGCUUCGCCACCGCUUCAGCCGCCCCCCUAUACGCCGACUGCCCCGCACGUCCCUGAUUGGUGGCGGGAGGGCGCGCUGACUUGGUUGAGGGUGCAUCGCCGCAGCCAUGAUGCCGACGUGACAACCUUGGCCCUCUGACAAUGAGCCUGCCUGCCCCUCUACUCCCUGAAUCCGGUCGCAGACCUGGGCCGGCAAGGAGUCCAACUGGGCCGCUGCUCAGGUGGGGCAAGGCGUGGUUUGGGGAGGCGGCAGGGAUCAAGGAAACGGCCGGCGUGCGUGCUGCGAACAGGGCUCUUGACGCCUUGCAUUUCCCCCAUCACACCACCAAACACAGAAAACGCGAGCCCAACCUAACUUACCAUUUCUCAAACCCCAACUCCCCCCUGGUUCCCCCUCCAGGACAUCCUGCUCAAGCUGGCCAAGGCCAACUCGGAGGCCUCCACCGGCUCCUUCAAGGGGCCGCACCCCGUGCCCGGCGGCGGCCGCAUCCUGCAGGCCCUGCGCACCGGCGGCGCCGGCAAGUAAGCGCCUCGGCAGCGCCGUGGCCCGUGCAACUGUGUGGAGAGGCGGUUGGCGACUUGACACGUGGCAUGGCCUGGACACGCC